AAUGCUGACAUAAGUAACGAUAAAGCGGGUGAAAAGCCCGCUCGCCGGAAGACCAAGGGUUCCUGUCCAACGUUAAUCGGGGCAGGGUGAGUCGACCCCUAAGGCGAGGCCGAAAGGCGUAGUCGAUGGGAAACAGGUUAAUAUUCCUGUACUUGGUGUUACUGCGAAGGGGGGACGGAGAAGGCUAUGUUGGCCGGGCGACGGUUGUCCCGGUUUAAGCGUGUAGGCUGGUUUUCCAGGCAAAUCCGGAAAAUCAAGGCUGAGGCGUGAUGACGAGGCACUACGGUGCUGAAGCAACAAAUGCCCUGCUUCCAGGAAAAGCCUCUAAGCAUCAGGUAACAUCAAAUCGUACCCCAAACCGACACAGGUGGUCAGGUAGAGAAUACCAAGGCGCUUGAGAGAACUCGGGUGAAGGAACUAGGCAAAAUGGUGCCGUAACUUCGGGAGAAGGCACGCUGAUAUGUAGGUGAAGUCCCUCGCGGAUGGAGCUGAAAUCAGUCGAAGAUACCAGCUGGCUGCAACUGUUUAUUAAAAACACAGCACUGUGCAAACACGAAAGUGGACGUAUACGGUGUGACGCCUGCCCGGUGCCGGAAGGUUAAUUGAUGGGGUUAGCGCAAGCGAAGCUCUU
rnacentral:rRNA from 1 species